CCCGCUGAACUUAAGCAUAUCAAUAAGCGGAGGAGAAGAAAUUAACUAAGAUUGCCUCAGUAACGGCGAGUGAAGCGGCAAAAGCCCAAAAUGGAAAUCUUGUGCGCAUCGCGUACACGAAUUGUAAUCUAUAGAGGAUCCGCUCAACGGGCGGUGGCGCAGAAGUGGCCUCGAACGGUCCGCCAGAGAGGGUGACAGCCCCGUAUGUGGUGCCACUGCUUAACGAGAGGGUUUUCAACGAGUCGGGUUGUUUUGUAUUGCAGCCCUAAGUGGGAGAUAAACUUCUUCUAAGGCUAAAUAUCUACGGGAAACCGAUAGCGAACAAGUACUGUGAAGGAAAGAUGAAAAGAACUUUGAAAAGAGAGUCAAAAGACUUGAAAUCGUUGAGAAGGAAGGGGUAGACAUUUAUCCUACGGCGGAGGACGGUGACAGUCGCCAAACCAUUGCAGGCUUCGGAUACGUCAAAGGUCCUGGUUUGCACGUGGGGAAGUGGCUGCUUGGACUCCGUCGUGAGGCAAGAUGGGGUCGUGUGGCCUCAAAGACUUCCUACAACCGGGUCUCUUCGGAGGUCAGUGUGGGUGUGUCGGAGGACAUGCGGCCUGAGGAAGCUUAGGCGAUCUUGCCAAAAUGGUGUUUACCCACCCGUCUUGAAACACGG
rnacentral:rRNA from 1 species